UUCUCUCCUCCUCGCCUUUGUUCUUCAUUUUUCUGCUCAACGCCACUGUCGUCCUUUCGUUCCUUUCCCCACUGUCGUCCGUCCGCCACUGGAAAGUGAGUGAUUGCAAUUUUUCUUCCCUUACUUCUCUACUGUGGGCUGUCGGUGUGAUUUCUACUUCUCACCCUCUUCGAAGAACAGCUGGGCGAAAUUAUUCUCCUCUUCUUCGGUGGUCCAUCAGCUAAAAUGUGACAGCUCCCACUGCACUUUGGUAGAGGAGGAUUGAGUUCAGAAUGUUGGUUGCUAACGGCAAUUUUAUUAGUCAUUGGCAUGCCAUAGUACACCCAACUAGCACAGUACUUGUAGGAGGUGCUAACCCCAUACGCUGGCCAACACACAUGAAACAAAGGGAUGAAUAUUCGUGAGUAUUGUACUCACGCUUAUUUCGUGGGCUUCAUGUUUGUGCUUGUUUCGUGGCUUCUAGCCGCGCUUGAUUAUUUUGUGGCUUUAAGCCACACUUGUUGAUUAUUUACCCUCGUAAACUGUGAAUCUACGUUUGAUUGGUUAUUUACCCUCAUGUACUAUGUGUCCGCGC